GACGAACGCUGGCGGCGUGCCUAAUACAUGCAAGUUGAGCGAUGAAGCUUGGUGCUUGCACCAAUUUGCAGAGCAGCGAACGGGUGAGUAACGCGUGGGGAAUCUGCCUUUGAGCGGGGGACAACAUUUGGAAACGAAUGCUAAUACCGCAUAACAACUUUAAACAUAAGUUUUAAGUUUGAAAGAUGCAAUUGCAUCACUCAAAGAUGAUCCCGCGUUGUAUUAGCUAGUUGGUGAGGUAAAGGCUCACCAAGGCGAUGAUACAUAGCCGACCUGAGAGGGUGGUCGGCCACAUUGGGACUGAGACAAGGCCCAAACUCCUACGGGAGGCAGCAGUAGGGAAACUUCGGCAAUUGGCGAAAGUCUGACCGAACAACGCCGCGUGAGGGAAGAAGGUUUUCGGAUCGUAAAACUCUGUUGGUAGAGAAGAACGUUGGUGAGAGUGGAAAGCUCAUCAAGUGACGGUAACUACCCAGAAAGGGACGGCUAACUACGUG
rnacentral:rRNA from 1 species